rnacentral:rRNA from 1 species
GCGAGUGAAGCGGCAAAAGCUCAAAUUUGAAAUCUGGCAUCUUUGGUGUCCGAAUUGUAAUUUGGAGAGGCAACUUCAGGUAGGACCCAGUCUAUGUUCCUUGGAACAGGACGUCAUAGAGGGUGAGAAUCCCGUUCUUGACUGGAUGUUCUUGCUAGUAUGUAGUGCCUUCUACGAGUCGAGUUGUUUGGGAAUGCAGCUCAAAAUGGGUGGUAAAUUUCAUCUAAAGCUAAAUAUUGGCGAGAGACCGAUAGCGCACAAGUAGAGUGAUCGAAAGAUGAAAAGCACUUUGAAAAUAGAGUCAAAAAGUACGUGAAAUUGUUGAAAGGGAAGCGCUUGAGACCAGACUCAGCCUUUGGCAAACAAGUGUCCUUCUGGGCAGUGCACUUGCCUCAGGUUGGGCCAGUAUCAGUUAGGAUGGUAGGAGAAAGGCUAGGGGAAUGUGACUCCUAUCUGGAGUGUUAUAGACCCUGGCGUCAUGCUACCUGUCCUGACUGUGGACCGCGCGUUAGCUAGGAUACUGGCGUAAUGGUCUUCAGCGGCCCGUCUUGAAACACGGACCAAGGAGUCUAACAUCUAUGCAAGUGUUUGGGCUACACACCCUCACGCGUAAUGAAAGUAAGCGGAGGUGGGAAUU